rnacentral:rRNA from 1 species
AUCUUCCGCAAUGGGCGAAAGCCUGACGGAGCAACGCCGCUUGAGUGAUUAAGGGUUUCGGCUCGUAAAACUCUGUUAUUAGGGAAGAACAAAUGUGUAAUUAACUGUGCACAUCUUGACGGUACCUUAUUAGAAAGCCACGGCUAACUCUGUGCCAGCAGCCGCGGUAAUACGUAGGUGGCAAGCGUUAUCCGGAAUUAUUGGGCGUAAAGCGCGCGUAGGCGGUUUCUUAAGUCUGAUGUGAAAGCCCACGGCUCAACCGUGGAGGGUCAUUGGAAACUGGGAAACUUGAGUGCAGAAGAGGAAAGUGGAAUUCCAUGUGUAGCGGUGAAAUGCGCAGAGAUAUGGAGGAACACCAGUGGCGAAGGCGACUUUCUGGUCUGUAACUGACGCUGAUGUGCGAAAGCGUGGGGAUCAAACA